CCUACGGGUGGCAGCAGUGAGGAAUAUUGGUCAAUGGGCGGAAGCCUGAACCAGCCAAGUCGCGUGAGGGAAUAAGGCCCUACGGGUCGUAAACCUCUUUUGCCGGGGAGCAAGGGCCGGGACGCGUCCCGGCCCGGAGAGUACCCGGAGAAAAAGCAUCGGCUAACUCCGUGCCAGCAGCCGCGGUAAUACGGAGGAUGCGAGAGUUAUCCGGAUUUAUUGGGUUUAAAGGGGGCGUAGGCGGGCUUUUAAGUCUGAUGUGAAAGCCUUCGGCUUAACCGGAGUAGUGCAUUGGAAACGGGGAGACUGGGGUGCAGAAGAGGAGAGGGGAACUCCAUGUGUAGGGGUGAAAUGCGUAGAUAUAUGGAAGAACAGCAGUGGCGAAAGCGGCGCUCUGGUCUGUAACUGCCACUGACAUUGAUGCUCGAAAGUGUGGGGAUCAAACAGGAUUAGAUACCCCUGUAGUC
rnacentral:rRNA from 1 species